GAUUUCGGUAGUGUAGUGGUAGCACGCGCUCCCCGUAUGGGUAAAACGCGGGUUCAACUUCCCACCGGGGUUCA